GUCAAUCAUUUCAACGGGCACUUCAUUUGUGAUUAAAAUGAGGAUGAAGGCAUACCUUAACAUGAAUGAAAUGAGAAAAUCAAAAUAAUACAUAGUUGAAAUGAGGUGACAGAAUGGAUACAUGAUUCAAAUCGGGCAAUUAGAGGGUACACAAGUCAAACGAAGGGAUGAGUCCAUGAUUAAAAUGAUUGGAUGGAACAAUACACGGUUGGAAUGAGGGGAUGCAUGAUACAAGGUUGUACAGAGAGGAUGCAUGAUACAAGGUUGUACAGAGAGGAUGCAUGAUACAAGGUUGUACAGAGGGGAUGCAUGAUACAAGGUUGUAUAGAAAGGAUGCAUGAUACAAGGUUGUAUAGAAAGGAGGCAUGAUACAAGGUUGUACAGAAAGGAGGCAUGAUACAAGGUUGUAUAGAAAGGAGGCAUGAUACAAGGUUGUACAGAAAGGAGGCAUGAUACAAGGUUGUACAGAAAGGAGGCAUGAUACAAGGUUGUACAGAAAGGAGGCAUGAUACAAGGUUGUAUAGAAAGGAGGCAUGAUACAAGGUUGUACAGAGAGGAUGGAAUGGAAAGGCAUGAGCCGCUGAAAGAAAUCCAUGACUGAAAUGAACUGUUGAAAGAGGUACAUGUACAAUAGGAUAUAAAGGGUACAAGAUGAAUAUUAAAGGAUGAAAAAAAAUACAGGACUGAAUCAAGGGACUUGACUCAAUUCAAUUGAGAGAAUAUAAAAAUACAUGACUGAAUUGAGUGAUUUGAUGAGAAACAGAGGGACUGGAAGAGGAACAUAAAUGAGGAAUUUGAUGAGAAACAUGAUAUAAUUAAGAGGUUGGAUGAGAAACAUGAUCAAAUUAACGGUACUGGGGGAGAUACAUGACUGAAUUAAGGGAUUGGAUGAGAAACAUGAUCAAAUUAAAGGUACUGGAGGCAAUACAUGACUGAAUUAAGGGACUGGAUGAGAAACAUGAUCAAACUGAGGGAUUGGAUGAUAUACCUGAUUUGAAUGAAGGGUAAGAAGGCGUACAUGAUUGAAACGAAUGAAUCAGAAUACAUGAUUUAAAAGGAGUAUGAGAUGAUAAAUGGUGGGAAGGAUGGGAAGGAGGGGAUGAAAAAGAUAAAAAAAAAACUGAGUGAGGGUUACAUGGGAUACAACUAAAAUUAGACAUGGAGAGGAUACAGGGUUCACAUCAACGGAUGGAAGGUAAACAAAAUGAAGUGAAUGAUUACAACUUCAGUGCACCUCAGCCGCAUUGUAACGCCAAUACAUCAUGCUAAUACAAUAUUAAUGGUGGGAUGGAUAGACACUUGAUUGUAAUGAGUAACUGGAAAAGAUACAGAAUUGAAAUGUGAAGAUGUCAAAAAAACCAAAAUCUGGCUGAAUUGAGACACUGGAGGUACAUUAUUGAAAUGAAGGGUUGGAAGCCAUAAAGAACAUGAUUGAAAUAAGAGGAUGUCAAAAGGACUGAAUGGAGGGAUUGGAAAGGAUACAAAAUUCAAAUAAUGGGGAAGAAAAGGGCAUUUCACUAGGGAUUAAAAUGAAGGAUGCACGACUGAUUCAAGGGGAUAAAAGACGACUGAAAUCAGGGGAUGAAAGACACAUGAUUGAAAUGAGGGGAUGAAGGAUACAUGAUUGAAAUGAGGGGAUGGAAGACACAUUAUUGAAAUGAGGGAUGAAGGAUACAUGAUUGAAAUGAGGGAUGAAGGAUACAUGAUUGAAAUGAGGGGGAUGAAGGAUACUUUGCUGAGAUGUUUGGACAGGAGAAACAAGAGAGCAGAUGAUUUAAACUCACAUACCACAGAAGAAUAAAUGAAAGGUGUUUGGUGAAGGAUUUAUAACUGAAUCAAUGUUGAAAGAAUGGGUCAAAUGGGAGGCACAACUGGCUUAGUUUUAGAUGGUUGACAUGAUUGGUAAAACAAGAGAUAUUGCUAAAAAAAAGGGACAUGGUUGACCUCAUUGGUUAAAUGGGAUGUAAGAUUAGCUUGAGGGAUGGUAGUGGACAGGAUUGGGCAUGACUAAAAUGUAAGAUGAAUAAUCAACAUGACAUCAACAUGAGAGACAGGACUAAAUGGAGGGAUGCACAUGCGACAUGAUUGAUAACAUCAGAGACCUGGUUAAAUGAGGGAUACAUGGGUGGUUGACACGAUUAGUGUGAUAAGAGACAUUCUUACACUGAGGGAUGGAUGGUUGAUGUGACUGGUGAAAUGGGAGAUGUGAUUGAAUGAAGAAUGGAUGGUUCACAGGAUUAAGAGACCUGAUUAAAUGAGGGAUGGAUGGCUGACAUGAUUCAUAAAAUGGGAGACCUGAUUAAAUGAGGGAUGGAUGGUUGACGGGAUUGGUGAAUAAGGAGAAAUGGCUAAAUGAGGGAUGGAUGGUCGAUUGUAUCAUGAUUGAUACAAUUGAUGAUAUUAAAUUCAACGAUGGGUGACUGACAUGAUUAAAUGAGGAAUGGACUUAAACAUCAUUGAUGAAACGAGAGACAUGAUCAAAUGAGGGAGGGAUGGUUGACAUGAUUGGUGAAAUGGGAGACAAGAUCAAAUGAGGGAUGAAUGGGUGACAAGGUGGAGUACACCCCGAGAGGCAGCCAACAUGAGCUGAACUUACAGCGACCGCAUUGGUGACAGACUCCUCGGUUAGGUGACACUAUUAAACUGAGGGUUGGAAUGUGGACAUGAUUGGUAAAAUGAGAGACAUGAUUAAAUGGGGGAGGGAUGGUUGACAUGAUGGAUAAAAUGGGAGACAUGAUUGAGGGAGGGAUGGCUGUCUGACAUGAUUGGUUGAAUGAGAGGCAUUAAUAAAUAGAAGAAUGUAUGGGUAACAUCACUGGUAAAACGGGGCAUAAAAUGUUGACAAGAUUGGUGAAUUGGGAGACCUGAUUGAAUGAGGGAUGGAAUGUUGAUAUGAUUGGUGAAAUGAGAGACAUGAUUAAAUGGGGGAUGGAUGGUAAAGAUGUUUGAUGGAGUGGGAGACCUGAUUAAAUGGGGGAUGGAUGGUUCACAGGAUUGAAGAAAUGGGAGACAUGACUUUAAAACUGAAAGUUGUUGACAUGAUUACAUGCGAGACAGAAUGGUUUGAUUAUCUAAAUAGGAAACAUUAUUAAACCGAGGGAUGGCUGGUCAAGAUCACAGAUGAAAUGAGAGACAUGAUCAAAUGAGGGAUGGAUGGUCGACAUCACUGAUGAAACGGGAGACAUGAACAAAUGAGGGAUGGAUGGUUGACAUGACUGGUGAAAUGGGAGAAAAGAUUAAAUGAGGGAUGGAUGGGUGAGCUGAAUGCUCCUCAUGUACACCCUGAGAGAAAGCCAACAUGAGCUAGACUUGAACUCAAAACGACCACAUUGGUGACAGCCUCCUGGGUUAAGCAACAUUAUUAAACCAGAGGAUGGAUGGUCAACAUUAUUAGUGAAAUGGGAGGAGACAUGAUUAAAUGGGGGAUGGAUAGUUGACAUGAUUGGUUAAAUGAGAAGCAUUAUUAAAUGGAGUGAUGUGGAGGGAUGUAUGGGUAACAUCACCAGUAAAAUGAAAGAAAUGUUUAAACUGAAAAAUGAUGACAGGAUUAUCUAAAUGGGAGACAUUUUUAAACCAAAUAAUGGAUGAUCAACAUUACUGGUGAAAUGGGAGACCUGGCUGAAUGAGGGAUGGAUGGUUGCCAUGAUUUGUGAAAUGAGAAGCGUUCUUAAAUGGAGGGAUGUAUGGCUAACAUCACAGAUAAAAGGAGUCAAAUUUUCAAUUGAAAGACCUGGACACGAUUAAAUGGAGGGAUACAAUCCUGACUUCACUGUCUAAAUGGGAGACAUUAUUCACCUGAGGGACUGAUGGUGGACAUGAUUGGUGAAAUGGGAGACCUGAUUGAAUGAGGGAUUGAUGGUAAUCAUGACAAGUAAAAUUGGAGACAUUCACUGAUGAGGGACUGAUGGUGAUCAUGAUUGGUGAAAUGGGAGACCUGAUUGAAUAAGUGACUGAUGGUGAUCAUGAUUGGUGAAAUGGGAGGCCUGAUCGAAUGAUGGUGAUCAUGAUCGCUGAAAUGGGAGAUCUGACUGAAUGAGAGAUGGAUGGUUGUCAUGACUAGUGAAAUGAGAGACAUGAUUAAAUGAUGGUGACCAUGAUCGCUGAAAUGGGAGACCUGGAUGGUUGACAUGACUAGUGAAAUGAGAGACCUGAUUGAAUGAUGGUGAUCGUGAUUGGUGAAAUGGGAGACCUGAUUGAAUGAGGAACUGAUGGUGAUCAUGAUUGGUGAAAUGGGAGACCUGACUGAAUGAUGGUGAUCAUGAUUGGAGAAAUGGGAGACCUGAUUGAAUGAUGGUGAUCAUGAUUGGUGAAAUGGGAGACCUGAUUGCAUGAGGAACUGAUGGUGAUCAUGAUUGGUGAAAUGGGAAACCUGACUGAAUGAUGGUGAUCAUGAUUGGUGAAAUGGGAGACCUGAUUGAAUGAGGGACUGAUGGUGAUCACGACUGGUGAAAUAGGGACCUGAUUGAAUGAGGGACUGAUGGUGAUCACGAAUGGUGAAAUAGGGACCUGAUUGAAUGAGGGACUGAUGGUGAUCAUGAUUGGUGAAAUGGGAGACCUGACUGAAUGAUGGUGAUCACGAUUGGUGAAAUGGGAGACCUGAUUGAAUGAGGGACUGAUGGUGAUCACGACUGGUGAAAUAGGGACCUGAUUGAAUGAGGGACUGAUGGUGAUCAUGAUUGGUGAAAUGGGAGACCUGAUUGAAUAAGGACUGAUGGUGAUCAUGACUGGUGACAUACGGACCUGAUUGAAUGAGGGGCUGAUGGUGAUCAAGAUAGGUGAAAUAGGAGACCAGACUGAAUGAGGGAUGGAUAGUUGACAUGAUAGGUGAAAUGGAAGACAUGAACAAAUAACCGAUGGGUGGUGGACGUAAUUGGUGAAAUAGGAGACCUGACAGAAUGAGGGAUGGAAGGUUGACAUGAUUGGUGAAAUGGGAGACCUGACUGAAUGAGGGAUGGAAGGUUGACAUGAUUGGUGAAAUGGGAGACAUGAUUGAAUGAGG